GGCGCCGCUGGAGUACCAGCAGUACCUCGUGCAGGUGACCAAGUACCAGGCCGCACAGAACUGCAAGGUCAUGGUGAUUUCACGUCCGUUAGGCUCGAGAGGUGGACUCAAACAUCCAAGUUUUGCAAGUUUUGAUGUUGGAUGUUAAAUUUCUAUGCUCACUC